CCGGAAUAGCUCAGUCGGUAGAGCAGGGGACUGAAAAUC
rnacentral:tRNA from 1 species